rnacentral:lncRNA from 1 species
UCCAAAUAAUGAUAUAUGUUGCUAAACAUGACAGAAAUAAUGCAUAUUUCUAUGAUAGAAACAGACAGAAAACUCACUAUUUAAUACAGAUUAUAUAAGGAUAUAGAUGGGGUUUAAAAAUUGAGCAAAAUGGACAAGAAAAUAAAGAAUAGAGAAAAGAUAAUAAUGAGGUUCUGAAAUAAUACAAAAUUGAGAAUAAAACAAAAUAAAAGGAAUAUAGUAAAAUGGCAUAACGCAAUAAAGAAUACACAAACGAAGACCCCCCCCCCCCCAAAAAAAACAAAAACAAAAAACAAAACAAACCCAAUCUAGGUCGACCCUCUUAUACGAAUUGUUGAAUUCUUUAACAGCAAACUACAAAGCUAUAGGCGUUUAAGGAAUGAAUCCUCUUUUUCUUAAUAUUGUUUAUAUAUCACAGUCAUAGUAAUUUUAAAAUUGAGAACUGAAAUGGGGAAUAUGGCAGAGACACAAAUCCGAACAAAGAGCAGAUAACAACUGAAGGCCAUCAAUUGCUCUUCAUAGCAGUGAGAAAAUCCCGC